rnacentral:rRNA from 1 species
UACGGAGGGUGCGAGCGUUGUCCGGAAUCAUUGGGCGUAAAGCGCUCGCAGGUGGCCCGUCGCGUCGUGCGUGAAAGACCCCGGCUCAACCGGGGGGUGUCGUGCGAUACGGGCGGGCUGGAGGCCAGUAGGGGGAUGCGGAAUUCCGGGUGUAGUGGUGGAAUGCGUAGAGAUCCGGAGGAACACCAGCGGCGAAGGCGGCAUCCUGGACUGGUCCUGACACUCAGGAGCGAAAGCGUGGGGAGCGAUCCGG